CCCAAUUACAAGGCAUUAAUUCCAAUUAAUUUAACAUCCACAAGAAAAGUUCCUUCGAGAGAGUCGGGUUUUGCUGUUCCUAAGUUUAUGUUUAUCAACAUAUGUAGUCUGGCAAAAACAAAAAAUCGAGUACGAGCUGUAGUUGCACUGGAGGCAGACUUGGUCAAUAAGGGACUAGCUAACAGUCGUGGGUCGUGGGUAGAAUGUCGUGGGUCGUGGGUAGAAUGUCGUGGGUCGUGGGUAAAAAGGCGUGGGUCGUGGGUAAAAAGGCGUGGGUCGUGGGUAAAAAGGCGUGGGUCGUGGGUAAAAAAUCGUGGGUCGUGGGUAAAAAGGCGUGGGUCGUGGGUAAAAAGGCGUGGGUCGUGGGUAAAAAGGCGUGGGUCGUGGGUAAAAAAUCGUGGGUCCCGAAUAAAAAGUCGUGGGUUCCAAGCAAAAUAUUUCCAUAUAUUUACCUUUCUCCCUUUGGAAUGCGUGUUUUUUUUUCUUCUGAGGCUUUCCCAAACUAUGCCCAAAUAUGCAUAGCUUAGAGCGCGUUAAGGCCGGGUUUUUGAUAUCGGCAGAUCGGUUUAUAAAUAUUAUAACCAAGUGUGGAUGAAACAGUUCAACUUCACGCC